rnacentral:rRNA from 1 species
AUACGUAGGGGGCGAGCGUUGUCCGGAAUGAUUGGGCGUAAAGGGCGCGUAGGCGGCCCGGUAAGUCUGGAGUGAAAGUCCUGUUUUUAAGAUGGGAAUUGCUUUGGAUACCGUCGGGCUUGAGUGCAGGAGAGGUAAGUGGAAUUCCCAGUGUAGCGGUGAAAUGCGUAGAGAUUGGGAGGAACACCAGUGGCGAAGGCGACUUACUGGACUGUAACUGACGCUGAGGCGCGAAAGUGUGGGGAGCAAACAGGAUUAGAUACCCUGGUAGUCCACACUGUAAACGAUGAAUGCUAGGUGUAGGGGGUAUCGACCCCUUCUGUGCCGCAGUCAACACAAUAAGCAUUCCGCCUGGGGAGUACGGCCGCAAGGUUGAAACUCAAAGGAAUUGGCGGGG